AUUGAACGCUGGCGGCAGGCCUAACACAUGCAAGUCGAGCGGAGCGGCGGACGGGUGAGUAAUGCCUAGGAAUCUGCCUGGUAGUGGGGGAUAACGUCCGGAAACGGGCGCUAAUACCGCAUACUAUCAGAUGAGCCUAGGUCGGAUUAGCUAGUUGGUGGGGUAACGGCCUACCAAGGCGACGAUCCGUAACUGGUCUGAGAGGAUGAUCAGUCACACGGGAACUGAGACACGGUCCAGACUCCUACGGGAGGCAGCAGUGGGGAAUAUGGGACAAUGGGCGAAAGCCUGAGCCAGCCAUGCCGCGUGUGGGAAGAAGGUCUGCGGAUUGUAAAGCACUUUAAGUUGGGAGGCGUUACCAAAAGAAAAAGCCCCGGCUAACUUCGGGCCAGCAGCCGCGGUAAUAC
rnacentral:rRNA from 1 species